UAAACCUAAACUCUACCUAUAAAUUAAUGCUUAAAAAAAUCAAAAGGAGGGAAGAAAGAACGCAGAUACUCUGCAAAAGCUGAGCACCGCAGACCAAAAAAGGACCUCACUCCCCCGUCGUCUUCUCAAAACGACCCUAGCUCAAAAAUGACCCCUCCCGUUCUGCUUCCUUUUUAGAUUCUAAACACAUAAGACCCAUCAGCCAUCGAUCCCGAAUGACCAGAGACCCUCCAGUCGUCGUCUCAUACACAAAACCAGCGAGAACGGAUCCUCCAAUCUCUCUCGAUCUCUGAGAACGACGAGCAGUAGCGGACCCCUCCCAUCGCCAAAAAUUUGAAAACAGCCUGACCUUCACCCACCUCCCCUCACUACCCGACCAUACACAACACACACCUUUCCUCCAGUAGUAGCGUCACACCAAUGAGAGUAGCGACCCUCACCAGAUCAACGACGAACUCACCGGGAAAGGCUGUCUCCCACUAUUGUUAACCUUCAACUUCCCCAUGCUCCAUUGAUAACAUAUUUUUACACAUGAAAUAGUGUGAAAACUAGCCUGAAGCCAUCACUCACGACUCAUCUGUCUCUAUCCGAUGCUGCUACUGGCCUCAUUCUCUUUUAUUUUUCGCUCGCAAAUGUGGCCAGUUUGGGUGUAGCUAAGUCUGGUCGGAAAUCUAACGUCCUGGCGACCCCUUUGUGUGUUUUUUGGUGUCAUUCCGGACUCCUGUGGUUGAAGCUGUCGCCAGUGACGCUCGUUGUAGAUGUUUCUGAGUUUUGGUUUGUUUACAAAUGAAGUCUAGACCCGAAAAUCUACCCGGAUCCAUUCAGUCUCUGACAACCUCCGUGUUUUAGCUUUUUGCUAUUGUUUGCUCUUUCUUUUACACAUUAUUAGAUCCGAAAGAUUAGGAAAUAUCCAUCACCUUUUGAGUUUAGCCGGAAGUAUAGAUUUUCCAUUUCCCGUUCAGUUGGCAGUAACAUUGUCCUUGUAGCAAUUCUGACCUUAGCUGCCCGAGAAUUGUGGUACAAUAGAGCGAGGCAGUCCGGUCAGAGAUUCGAUGAGGUUUCCAGUGAGAUUUUCCGGUUCAGAUCUUGUUUGCGGUCCUGUUCGUUCCGUGGCUUAGCAUUUUCAAACUGUGAAACAAUCAAUUUUCAGUAUUGAGGUUCAUUUCCUCUCUUAUUAUCUAUUUAAAUUUAUUUGCAUAUUCUUGCUAAUAGCUUUCGAUGAUCAUGAAUGCAAUAUGAUUAUUUUGUUUAUCUCAUUAUUGAUCUAGAAUAUGUUUAAAAGGGUUUAUCAGCUCGUAAUUUUGUCCGUAAAUAGUCAUCUAAAUCACAGUUCAUGGAAUCAAUGGUAAUAAAUAUGGUUCGAGUUUAAUUAGUUAGUUUGAUUUUAUACUAAGCAAAGUCGCUUUAUGAUAAAGUUUGUCAUGGAUUAUCCGAGCAGCCUUAAGGAUUGGUUAUCUCUUUCUAGGAUGUUAGUUACAAUGAAGUUAUAUGCUGGUUUGGAAGUAUUUCUAACGUCACGACUAAGGGUACGGUUCCCGUGACGUAGUUGUGACCCUAAAUUUUGAAUUAGUUUUAAACAAUGAAUAUCCGUAGUUCACUUUGUUGAAUGUCUUCUCCUUUAAUAAAAUCGAGGUGUGCCAUUUAGUUGAAUUUUCCGUAGCUCUCGCAAAGUUAAAACGCGUAGUUGCUUUAGGCGCGUUAUUUUAAUAAUUUACCUCCCUAAACUCGGGUGCGCAUUUAUGUGACCCAAAUCCAAAUCUCAACGUUAGAUAAAAUGUGUUGCGGACUGCGGAUGCAUUUAUGUGACGUGGUUUGAAACAUAUUUUAAAUGAUGUUAUAAUCUUCCUUUAAUUAAUUAAAUAAAAGCGGUUAUAAAGUUAAAAUUGAACCAUAAGCUAAAACAUGUAUUAAAAUCGAAUAAUAGACCAAUUAUAACAGUUGAGCAACCGUGCUAGAAUCAUGGAACUCGGGAAUGGCUAACACCUUCUCCCGGGUUAACAGAAUUCCUUACCCGGAUUUCUGUGUUCGCGGACUGCAAAAACAGAGUCAAUUUUUCCUCGAUUCGGAUUCAAAACCGGUGACUUGGGACACCAUAAAUCUCCCAAGUGGCGACUCUGAUUUUAAAUAAAAUAAUCCCGUUUCGAUUGUCAUUUUAAGCUGGAAAAACUCCUUAUACCCUUCCGGGGUGUAGGAAAAAGGAGGUGUGACAUCUCCUAUUACUGAACCUACCAGUUUCUCCCAAGCUUGUUCUCAUUUAGGUUGGAAGCAAGCUAUGGUCAAAGAACUAGCUGCCAUAAAAGCUAAUCAUACAUGAGAGGUUGUGCCUCUUCCACCUGGGAAGAAAGCUUUGACCUGUAAAUGGGUUUACAAGGUCAAACAACAUGCUGAUGGUAGUAUUGAAAGGCUAAAGUCUCGACUAGUUAUCAGAGGAGACAUUCAAAGAGAGGGCAUGGACUACACUGUAACUUUCUCUCUAGUGGUUAAAAUGACCACCAUCAGAUGCCUAUUGUCUAUUGCAGUCAAAAAAGGGUGGGAUGUUUCACAAUUUGAUGUGAACAAUGCAUUUCUAUAUGGCGACCUACAAGAGGAAGUAUACAUGAAAUUACCUGUAUGUCAGACCCCUCCUACUCCCCACCAUGUUUGCAAGUUACAAAAAUCACUUUAUGGGCUCAAACAAGCCUCAAGGCAGUGGUAUGCCAGGCUUGCAGGUGCUCUCAGUUUCAAAGGAUUCUCUUCUUCUCUUAAUGAUUAUUCUCUAUUUUUUAAAAAGACAGGAGAUUUUAUUUCUAUUGUUGCAGUUUACGUUGAUGAUAUCUUAAUUACUGGAAAUCAUCCUACUGAAUUGACAGACCUCAAAGCAUUUCUUCAUUCAGAAUUCAAAAUUAAGGAUCUUGGAUUGAUACAUUACUUUCUGGACAUGGAAAUCUUACGAGAACAAGUUGGUUUUAUUAUUACUC
rnacentral:lncRNA from 1 species